rnacentral:piRNA from 1 species
UGGAAGGCCACUAAGCAUAGACAGGCAU